rnacentral:rRNA from 1 species
AAUGAACGCUGGCGGCGCGCCUAAUACAUGCAAGUCGAGCGAGAAGACGUAGCAAUACGUUUGUAAAGCGGCGAACGGGUGAGGAAUACAUGGGUAACCUACCCUCGAGUGGGGAAGUAACUAGCCGAAGGUUAGCUAAUACCGCGUACGCUCCUUGGACUUCGGUUCAGGGAGGGAAAGCGAUACCGUGGGUAGUCGCGCUCUUGGUUGGGCGUCAUGUCCUAUCAGCUUGUUGGUGAGGAACGGCUCACCAAGGCUUCGACGGGUAGCUGGUCUGAGAGGACGAUCAGCCACACUGGCACUGCGACACGGGCC